rnacentral:rRNA from 1 species
CUUCUCUACGGAAUAGCCUCUGGAAACGGAGAGUAAUACCGUAUACGCCCUUUGGGGGAAAGAUUUAUCGGAGAAGGAUCGGCCCGCGUUAGAUUAGGUAGUUGGUGGGGUAACGGCCUACCAAGCCUACGAUCUAUAGCUGGUUUUAGAGGAUGAUCAGCAACACUGGGGCUGAGACACGGCCCAGACUCCUACGGGAGGCAGCAGUGGGGAAUCUUAGACAAUGGGGGCAACCCUGAUCUAGCCAUGCCGCGUGAGUGAUGAAGGCCUUAGGGUCGUAAAGCUCUUUCGCCUGUGAUGAUAAUGACAGUAGCAGGUAAAGAAACCCCGGCUAACUCCGUGCCAGCAGCCGCGGUAAUACGGAGGGGGUUAGCGUUGUUCGGAAUUACUGGGCGUAAAGCGCGCGUAGGCGGAUUAGAAAGUUGGGGGUGAAAUCCCGGGGCUCAACCUCGGAACUGCCUCCAAAACUGCUAGUCUAGAGUUCGAGAGAGGUGAGUGGAAUUCCGAGUGUAGAGGUGAAAUUCGUAGAUAUUCGGAGGAACACCAGUGGCGAAGGCGGCUCACUGGCUCGAUACUGACGCUGAGGUGCAAAAGUGUGGGGAGCAAACAGGAUUAGAUACCCUGGUAGUCCACACCGUAAACGAUGAAUGCCAGUCGUCGGGUAGUAUACUAUUCGGUGACACACCUAACGGAUUAAGCAUUCCGCCUGGGGAGUACGGUCGCAAGAUUAAAACUCAAAGGAAUUGACGGGGGCCCGCACAAGCGGUGGAGCAUGUGGUUUAAUUCGAAGC